AUGCAUGUGUAAGUACGAGCAAAGUUAAUGCUCUAGCCGCGGACGGCUCAUUAAAUCAGCUAUGAUUUGUUGGUUCUUUACACCCAGUUUAUUUGGAUAACUGUGGUAAUUCUAGAGCUAAUACAUGAUUCCUAUAGUCCCUAACUUUAUGAAAAUAGAGGAAGGGUGCUUUUACUAUUGAAACCAAACUUGGUUGUUGUAAUAUCAUGCUUCGGUGUGUUUUACAAGAAAUCCCAUAUAUGAUGACUCAGAAUAAUUUCUGGCUGAGCGCAUGGCCUUUGUGCUAGCGCUGUUUCUUUCAAGUGUCUGCCUUAUCAGCUUUCGAUUGUAAGUUAUGUGCUUACAAUGGCUAUAACGGGUAACGGGGAAUCAGGGUUCGAUUCCGGAGAGGGAGCCUGAGAAACGGCUACCAGUUCUAAGGAAGGCAGCAGGCACGCAAAUUACCCACUCCCAGCACGGGGAGGUAGUGACGAAAAAUAACGAUGCAAGACUCAUCCGAGGCUUUGCAAUCGGAAUGAGAACACUUUAAAUCCUUUAUCUAGGAUCCAUUGGAGGGCAAGUCUGGUGCCAGCAGCCGCGGUAAUUCCAGCUCCAAUAGCAUAUAUUAAAGUUGUUGCGGUUAAAAAGCUCGUAGUUGGGUCUGUACAUGAGCUUUGACCUCUAGUCAGCACAUUGUGUUUGACUAUAAACAAAGACUCAUCCUGAAUCUACUCGCACGUUUCGUGUGGGUUUAGCCAAUUUAACACGGUAAUGCUCUUUACUGAGUAUACCGAG
rnacentral:rRNA from 1 species